UCAUUGGUGGUUCAGUGGUAGAAUUCUUGCCUUCCAUGUGAGAUACCUGGGCUUAAUUCCCAGCCAGUGCA
rnacentral:tRNA from 1 species